rnacentral:rRNA from 1 species
AUUGAACGCUGGCGGCAUGCUUUACACAUGCAAGUCGAACGGCAGCGCGGGCUUCGGCCUGGCGGCGAGUGGCGAACGGGUGAGUAAUGCAUCGGAACGUGCCCAGUAGUGGGGGAUAGCCCGGCGAAAGCCGGAUUAAUACCGCAUACGACCUGAGGGUGAAAGCGGGGGACCGAAAGGCCUCGCGCUAUUGGAGCGGCCGAUGUCGGAUUAGCUAGUUGGUGGGGUAAAGGCUUACCAAGGCGACGAUCCGUAGCUGGUCUGAGAGGACGACCAGCCAAACUGGGACUGAGACACGGCCCAGACUCCUACGGGAGGCAGCAGUGGGGAAUUUUGGGCAAUGGGGGCAAGCCUGAUGCAGCCAUGCCGCGUGCGGGAAGAAGGCCUUCGGGUUGUAAACCGCUUUUGUUCGGGAAGAAAUCCUGUGGGCUAAUACCCCGGGGGGAUGACGGUACCGGAAGAAUAAGCACCGGCUAACUACGUG